rnacentral:rRNA from 1 species
UUCCGGUUGAUCCUGCCGGAGGCCAUUGCUAUCGGUGUCCGAUUUAGCCAUGCUAGUCGAGCGAGGUUGGCCCUCGCGGCGAACAGCUCAGUAACACGUGGCCAAGCUACCCUGCAGAGGAGGACAGCGUCGGGAAACUGACGGGAAUCCCCCAUACCGGUCUCACGCUGGAAUGCCGAGACCGACAAACGCUCCGGCGCUGCAGGAUGCGGCUGCGGCCGAUUAGGUAGUCGGUGGGGUAACGGCCCACCGAGCCGAUAAUUGGUACGGGGUGUGAGAGCACGAGCCCGGAGACGGAAUCUGAGACAAGAUUCCGGGCCCUACGGGGCGCAGCAGGCGCGAAACCUUUACACUGCACGAACGUGCGAUAAGGGGACUCCGAGUGCGAGGGCAUACAGUCCUCGCUAUUGUGUACCGUAGGGUGGUACACGACCAAGAGCUGGGCAAGACCGGUGCCAGCCGCCGCGGUAAUACCGGCAGCUCGAGUGAUGGCCGAUUUUAUUGGGCCUAAAGCGUCCGUAGCUGGCCCUGCAAGUCCGUCGGGAAAUCCACUCGCCUAACGAGUGGGCGUCCGGCGGAAACUACAGGGCUUGGGACCGGAAGACUUGAGGGGUACGUCUGGGGUAGGAGUGAAAUCCUGUAAUCCUGGACGGACCGCCGAUAGCGAAAGCACCUCAAGACGACGGAUCCGACAGUGAGGGACGAAAGCUAGGGUCUCGAACCGGAUUAGAUACCCGGGUAGCCCUACCUGUAAACGAUGUUCGCUAGAUGUGGGCACAAGCUACGUGCCUGUGCUGUGUCGUAGGGAAACCCGAGAAGCGAACCGCCUGGGGAAGUACGUCCGCCAGGAUGAAACUUAAAGG